AUAUGGUCAAGUGAAGAAGCGCAUACGGUGGAUGCCUUGGCAGUCAGAGGCGAUGAAAGACGUGGUAGCCUGCGAAAAGCUUCGGGGAGUCGGCAAACAGACUGUGAUCCGGAGAUGUCUGAAUGGGGGAACCCAGCCAUCAUAAGAUGGUUAUCUUGUACUGAAUACAUAGGUGCAAGAGGCGAACCAGGGGAACUGAAACAUCUAAGUACCCUGAGGAAAAGAAAUCAACCGAGAUUCCCUUAGUAGUGGCGAGCGAACGGGGACUAGCCCUUAAGCUUCUUUGAUUUUAGCGGAACGCUCUGGAAAGUGCGGCCAUAGUGGGUGAUAGCCCUGUACGCGAAAGGAUCUUAGAAGUGAAAUCGAGUAGGACGGAGCACGAGAAACUUUGUCUGAAUAUGGGGGGACCAUCCUCCAAGGCUAAAUACUACUGACUGACCGAUAGUGAACUAGUACCGUGAGGGAAAGGCGAAAAGAACCCCGGAGAGGGGAGUGAAAUAGAUCCUGAAACCGUAUGCGUACAAGCAGUGGGAGCCCACUUUGUUGGGUGACUGCGUACCUUUUGUAUAAUGGGUCAGCGACUUAUUUUCAGUGGCGAGCUUAACCGAAUAGGGGAGGCGUAGCGAAAGCGAGUCUUAAUAGGGCGUCUAGUCGCUGGGAAUAGACCCGAAACCGGGCGAUCUAUCCAUGGGCAGGUUGAAGGUUAGGUAACACUGACUGGAGGACCGAACCGACUACCGUUGAAAAGUUAGCGGAUGACCUGUGGAUCGGAGUGAAAGGCUAAUCAAGCUCGGAGAUAGCUGGUUCUCCUCGAAAGCUAUUUAGGUAGCGCCUCAUGUAUCACUGUAGGGGGUAGAGCACUGUUUCGGCUAGGGGGUCAUCCCGACUUACCAAACCGAUGCAAACUCCGAAUACCUACAAGUGCCGAGCAUGGGAGACACACGGCGGGUGCUAACGUCCGUCGUGAAAAGGGAAACAACCCAGACCGUCAGCUAAGGUCCCAAAGUUAUGGUUAAGUGGGAAACGAUGUGGGAAGGCUUAGACAGCUAGGAGGUUGGCUUAGAAGCAGCCACCCUUUAAAGAAAGCGUAAUAGCUCACUAGUCGAGUCGGCCUGCGCGGAAGAUGUAACGGGGCUCAAACCAUACACCGAAGCUACGGGUAUCACGCAAGUGAUGCGGUAGAGGAGCGUUCUGUAAGCCUGUGAAGGUGAGUUGAGAAGCUUGCUGGAGGUAUCAGAAGUGCGAAUGCUGACAUGAGUAACGACAAUGGGUGUGAAAAACACCCACGCCGAAAGACCAAGGUUUCCUGCGCAACGUUAAUCGACGCAGGGUUAGUCGGUCCCUAAGGCGAGGCUGAAAAGCGUAGUCGAUGGAAAACAGGUUAAUAUUCCUGUACUUCUGGUUAUUGCGAUGGAGGGACGGAGAAGGCUAGGCCAGCUUGGCGUUGGUUGUCCAAGUUUAAGGUGGUAGGCUG
rnacentral:rRNA from 1 species